rnacentral:rRNA from 1 species
GAUGAACGCUGGCGGCGUGCUUAACACAUGCAAGUCGAACGAUGAAGCCCAGCUUGCUGGGUGGAUUAGUGGCGAACGGGUGAGUAACACGUGAGUAACCUGCCCUUGACUCUGGGAUAAGCCUGGGAAACUGGGUCUAAUACUGGAUAUGACUUCUCAUCGCAUGGUGGGGGGUGGAAAGAUUUAUUGGUCUCGGAUGGACUCGCGGCCUAUCAGCUUGUUGGUGAGGUAAUGGCUCACCAAGGCGACGACGGGUAGCCGGCCUGAGAGGGUGACCGGCCACACUGGGACUGAGACACGGCCCAGACUCCUACGGGAGGCAGCAGUGGGGAAUAUUGCACAAUGGGCGCAAGCCUGAUGCAGCGACGCCGCGUGAGGGAUGACGGCCUUCGGGUUGUAAACCUCUUUCAGUAGGGAAGAAGCGAGAGUGACGGUACCUGCAGAAGAAGCGCCGGCUAACUACGUG